rnacentral:lncRNA from 1 species
GGGAGGACACGGAAGGUGCUUGGUAAACAGUUAAGAGUUUUAGAAAUAAUGUCUACCAAAGACUUUAUAAGGUCAACAUGAUCGCAGAAGCAGCCCUCAGGAAUAGUACAUUUUCUCUCCCUCCCCUGGUUCCCCUGUUGGCUCCAUCCCCCACCCCCACCCCAUCCAGCUUCUAUUUGCACCACAGUCUGUGGCAUUUUUGAACUUCAGGGCUCCUGUCUGGCUCGUUAUUCUUUUAGCUGAGGAACUGCAGCACCUAAUUAAUAGGAAAUUAGCUGUGAAUGUAACAUUUGGCCCGCAGUCAAGGCCCAAGAAGUUAUAAAUAUACACCAUGUGAGUGGCCUGGGCACCUGAUUCCUGGCAGCUACAGAAGUGGCACUUUCUGUGCUGUUUCAGGAAGUGAAGUCAUAGGUCACAGGCAGCUGGGAGCCGGGAUCUCUUGCUCUGAGGAUUAAGGGGACCAUCCUGGGGAGCACAGGGGCCUGUCUGCUUCAUCACAUUUCCCAAACAGCAUGUGUACUUCCUCAAGUUAAAUGUCUCUUCAAAGGCCAGGCUGGAGAGGACUAGGAGGAGGGCUCUGGGGUCCCAAACACUGUUCCCUCAGGGACACGACAGGGCUGCUGUUCUUCCAAACACUUCCAUUUGGCUUCUUCCAGAAGUAGGAACUUUGUGCAUUGAAGGCCAGGCCCUUAACUGUCCAUAGGUGCAGACCAUGGAGCUGAGGCCUAAAGAGGUUAAAUAUCUUGUCUAACCAGCCAGGAGUGGAGUUGGGAUUUGAACCACAAUUUUCUUUCUUUCUCCUUCCUCCCUCCCUCUCUCUUUCCUUCCUUCCUUCCUCCCCCCCUCUCUCUUUCCUUCCUUCCUUCCCCCCCCCCCCCCUCUUCCUUCCUUUUCUCUUCCUUCUUUCCCUCCUUCCCUCCCUCCUUUUUUGGCCUCCCCAUGGCAUAUGGAAUUCCUGGGCCAGGGGUCAGAUCUGAGUCACAGUGGCCACCUUCAGCAGCUGUGGCAACACCAGAUCCUUAACCCACUGUGCCAGGCCAGGGAUUGAACCUGUGUCCCAGUGCUUCAGAGAUGCCUCUCUUUCCAUUGUGUCACAGCAGGAACCCCUUAAGGACAAUUUUCUAACCCCCAAGUCUGAUGCUUUGAGCAGGACCUGAGAGCUAUCUAACUGUUUCAGGAGAGUCAGCUUGGGAGGAGAGAAUGACUUUUAAAAGCACCAGUGAGGAAAAAGUUUUGAGGGGGAGGGGGAGUGGCAGAAGGGUCGAGGGCAAGGCAAGUCGCCUCUGGGGUCUUGUAGGGAGGUAGAAGACCCUCCACGAAGGAGGGAGCUUAUCCAGGGAUCAGAGCUGCAGCACUUUUCUCUAGAUUCACCUGAUUUAAAUUAUCUCACUCGUGUCUUUCUCAACUUCCCUGGCAGAGAAAUAGGAAUUGAGUAACCUGUCUUUUCCCUCAUGAGAGUUAAAAAUCUGCUGAUCAAAGGACCUGUUCAAAUUCUAAGUAUGUUUAUUAUGAGCCAAACCCUGGCAGGGAGAGAAUGCUGGGUUCCUUGGCAAAGCAGGUGGGGCCGAGAGGAAAAGCCAAUCUGACUACAUCAGGGAACAGAAAGCCCAGUGUAAGUGCAAUGUUUUGCCAGCUUUAUUUAAGAGAUCGAUCGAAGCCUCUUUAACACAGGCUUCUACCUGAGAGUGAUAUAAUGAAUCCAGCAUUUAUGUGUCUCUGGAAGGAGGCUUCUGAAAGAGGAGAAAAAUAUAAAAGAAAUUGCGUCUUUGGGUAGGUCCCAGAAGGGGCUCGUCUGGAGGAGGGAAAUAACUCAUUGACGAUGUCACAGAGCAGAAGAUAAAAAGUGAGGCUGCAUGUUGCUGAGGCUGAGGGAGGACAGAGUCUCCCUUGGAAGGAAAAUGUGCAUCCAGCCUUGCGCAGGGAAGGGGGCUAUAAAUCAGAGUCCAAGCCAAGAACACAGGUGUCUCUGCUAUCCUGAAAGAAAAAUAAUACAGCUUCCUCUUCCUGCCUCCACCCACUAACCAGAGGCAUUUCCUGACCCUCCACAUCCAUCCCUCCUGCUUUCUUAUCCUCUGGGGGGUGUUACCAAUCCUUUACCAUCUCAGCCGGUGCUUUGGCACAGAAUGGCUUUGGAGUUAAGAAAGAGCUGAUUUCAAACAUCACAUCCUCCAUUUAGGAGUUUCCUUAUCUCUAUAUGCCCUCAGUUUCUUGUGUUAAAAGGGUAGGGUAAUAUCUAUUUGAGAGGGUUUUUAAGAGGAUUAAAGGAAAUAAUACUCAAAAAAAUCUAAUAUAGUAUGUGACACACAGUUGGUCCUUAACAAUUAUUGCCAUUAUCAUAAUUUUUUUCAUCUUUUAGGGCCGCCCCUGUGGCAUAUGGAAGAUCCCAGGCUAGGGGUCAAAUUGGAGCUGCAGCCGCUAGCCUACACCACAGGCACAGCAAUGCCAGAUCCUUAACCCACUGAGCAAGGCGAGGGAUCGAACAUGAAUCCUCAUGGAUAUUAGUCAGGUUCUUUGCUGCUGAGCCAGGACAGGAGCUCCUAUUAUCAUAAGGUAAAUAAGAAAGUUAAGAGUAAAUCUUGGUGUUUGGUAGUCACUCAGUAAUCAGUUUCUCUUUUUCAAGGUCGUAUCAGCAAUGAUAAUAUUAGGAAAAUAUGUUUGCUAUUCUGUCUCCCUCAUCAUUUGCACCCUCCUCUGAAUGAUUCUAAACCACAACCUAGGCCAAAGCCAACCCCAACACUCUGCCCAGAUCCAUCCCCAAUCCUGAUUCUAAUCCCAACCCCUGGCCCAUCCUAACCCUAUUCCAACUUGUAUCCCCAGCUCUAUUCCCAACCCUAUUCCAUCUGUGUCAGUCCGAGUUUGCUAGAGAAAGGGAACAAACAGGAUGCAUAAGUACAGAGAAAAAGACUCGUUAUAAGGAAUCAGCUCAUGUGAUUAUGGAUGCCGCAGGCCUAAGACUCAGGAAGCGCUGAUGUUUCAGUUCAAAUACAGGAAAAAAGCUGAUUUCUUAGUUCUAUGGUCAUCAAGCAGGAAGGAUUCUUCCUAACUUGGGGGAGGGUUGACCCUUGUGGUCUGUUCAUACCUUCAAGUGAUUGGGUGAAGCCCACCCACAUAAGGAGGGCAAUCUACUUUACUCAGUUCACUGAUUUAAAUCUUAAUCUCAUCUAGUCACCCUCACAGAAGUACCCAGAAUAAUGCUUGAGCAAAUAUCUGGAUACUAUAUGACUCAGUCAAGUUGACACAUAAAAUUAACCAUUAUACCACCCUUAUCCCUAAUUCUAUCCCCAACUCUCACUCCAAGCCAAAGGCCAAACCUAACUCCACCCUAAUAACUACUAUUAAAUAUUGCCGUGCGUUGUUAGUGCCUAUUUCCUUCCUUGUGGGGAUACAGAUACUGUCUUAGCCACCAUAACUUGCUAAUCAGUGCGUUAAGUUCACACCAUAAAGAAACUCAACUUGAUAACGUAUCUCUGGAAUUGGGAAUUAAAAGGGAAAGGGCAUUGGAAAGUAGAAUCUCACUCAGAUAGCAACCUGAUAUGAUUAGCAUCUUCCUACGGCAUGAGAAGCCGCUCAGACACACUGGGUAAUUAACAUUCAUUGGUGCCAACUCCUGCCCCAUUCUCUUGGCUAAGCCCUAUUUUAAUAGGGUCUGUGUGCAUUGGGAUGGCCAGGAUCAAAGUCA